rnacentral:lncRNA from 1 species
UUUUGAGCAAUGCCACUAGGCAGAUGUUGCUUUGAGGAAAUCAAGUCUUGGAACUUACACAGGAAAUGUGGAGCAAAGAACAAACAAUUCUGGUAGAAUGACAGGUGCCGCCUACUGGAUACUAUCAGAAUUGCUUGUGGAGUGAGAAG